rnacentral:rRNA from 1 species
AGCGUACACGGUGGAUGCCCUGGCAGUCAGAGGCGAUGAAGGACGUGCUAAUCUGCGAAAAGCGUCGGUAAGGUGAUAUGAACCGUUAUAGCCGGCGAUGUCCGAAUGGGGAAACCCAGUGCAAUUCGUUGCACUAUCGUUAACUGAAUACAUAGGUUAACGAGGCGAACCGGGGGAACUGAAACAUCUAAGUACCCCGAGGAAAAGAAAUCAACCGAGAUUCCCCCAGUAGCGGCGAGCGAACGGGGAGCAGCCCAGAGUCUGAAUCAGCUUGUGUGUUAGUGGAACGGUCUGGAAAGUCCGACGGUACAGGGUGAUAGUCCCGUACACCAAAAUGCACAGGCUGUGAACUCGAAGAGUAGGGCGGGACACGUGGUAUCCUGUCUGAAUAUGGGGGGACCAUCCUCCAAGGCUAAAUACUCCUGACUGACCGAUAGUGAACCAGUACCGUGAGGGAAAGGCGAAAAGAACCCCGGCGAGGGGAGUGAAAAAGAACCUGAAACCGUGUACGUACAAGCAGUGGGAGCACCUUCGGGUGUGACUGCGUACCUUUUGUAUAAUGGGUCAGCGACUUAUAUUCUGUAGCAAGGUUAACCGUAUAGGGGAGCCGCAGGGAAACCGAGUCUUAACUGGGCGUUAAGUUGCAGGGUAUAGACCCGAAACCCGGUGAUCUAGCCAUGGGCAGGUUGAAGGUUGGGUAACACUAACUGGAGGACCGAACCGACUAAUGUUGAAAAAUUAGCGGAUGACUUGUGGCUGGGGGUGAAAGGCCAAUCAAACCGGGAGAUAGCUGGUUCUCCCCGAAAGCUAUUUAGGUAGCGCCUCGUGAACUCAUCUUCGGGGGUAGAGCACUGUUUCGGCUAGGGGGUCAUCCCGACUUACCAACCCGAUGCAAACUACGAAUACCGAAGAAUGUUAUCACGGGAGACACACGGCGGGUGCUAACGUCCGUCGUGAAGAGGGAAACAACCCAGACCGCCAGCUAAGGUCCCAAAGUCAUGGUUAAGUGGGAAACGAUGUGGGAAGGCACAGACAGCCAGGAUGUUGGCUUAGAAGCAGCCAUCAUUUAAAGAAAGCGUAAUAGCUCACUGGUCGAGUCGGCCUGCGCGGAAGAUGUAACGGGGCUAAACCAUGCACCGAAGCUGCGGCAGCGACACUAUGUGUUGUUGGGUAGGGGAGCGUUCUGUAAGCCUGCGAAGGUGACCUGUGAGGGUUGCUGGAGGUAUCAGAAGUGCGAAUGCUGACAUAAGUAACGAUAAAGCGGGUGAAAAGCCCGCUCGCCGGAAGACCAAGGGUUCCUGUCCAACGUUAAUCGGGGCAGGGUGAGUCGACCCCUAAGGCGAGGCCGAAAGGCGUAGUCGAUGGGAAACAGGUUAAUAUUCCUGUACUUGGUGUUACUGCGAAGGGGGGACGGAGAAGGCUAUGUUAGCCGGGCGACGGUUGUCCCGGUUUAAGCAUGUAGGCUGGUUAUCCAGGCAAAUCCGGAUAAUCAAGGCUGAGGUGUGAUGACGAGGCACUACGGUGCUGAAGUAACAAAUGCCCUGCUUCCAGGAAAAGCCUCUAAGCAUCAGGUAACAUCAAAUCGUACCCCAAACCGACACAGGUGGUCAGGUAGAGAAUACCAAGGCGCUUGAGAGAACUCGGGUGAAGGAACUAGGCAAAAUGGUGCCGUAACUUCGGGAGAAGGCACGCUGGUGUGUAGGUGAAGUCCCUGCGGAUGGAGCUGAGACCAGUCGAAGAUACCAGCUGGCUGCAACUGUUUAUUAAAAACACAGCACUGUGCAAACACGAAAGUGGACGUAUACGGUGUGACGCCUGCCCGGUGCCGGAAGGUUAAUUGAUGGGGUUAUCCGUAAGGAGAAGCUCUUGAUCGAAGCCCCGGUAAACGGCGGCCGUAACUAUAACGGUCCUAAGGUAGCGAAAUUCCUUGUCGGGUAAGUUCCGACCUGCACGAAUGGCGUAAUGAUGGCCAGGCUGUCUCCACCCGAGACUCAGUGAAAUUGAACUCGCUGUGAAGAUGCAGUGUACCCGCGGCAAGACGGAAAGACCCCGUGAACCUUUACUAUAGCUUGACACUGAACAUUGAGCCUUGAUGUGUAGGAUAGGUGGGAGGCUUUGAAGCGUGGACGCCAGUCUGCGUGGAGCCAACCUUGAAAUACCACCCUUUAAUGUUUGAUGUUCUAACGUUGGCCCCUGACCGGGGUUGCGGACAGUGUCUGGUGGGUAGUUUGACUGGGGCGGUCUCCUCCCAAAGCGUAACGGAGGAGCACGAAGGUUAGCUAAUCCUGGUCGGACAUCAGGAGGUUAGUGCAAUGGCAUAAGCUAGCUUGACUGCGAGCGUGACGGCGCGAGCAGGUGCGAAAGCAGGUCAUAGUGAUCCGGUGGUUCUGAAUGGAAGGGCCAUCGCUCAACGGAUAAAAGGUACUCCGGGGAUAACAGGCUGAUACCGCCCAAGAGUUCAUAUCGACGGCGGUGUUUGGCACCUCGAUGUCGGCUCAUCACAUCCUGGGGCUGAAGUAGGUCCCAAGGGUAUGGCUGUUCGCCAUUUAAAGUGGUACGCGAGCUGGGUUUAGAACGUCGUGAGACAGUUCGGUCCCUAUCUGCCGUGGGCGCUGGAGAAUUGAGGGGGGCUGCUCCUAGUACGAGAGGACCGGAGUGGACGCAUCACUGGUGUUCGGGUUGUCAUGCCAAUGGCACUGCCCGGUAGCUAAAUGCGGAAGAGAUAAGUGCUGAAAGCAUCUAAGCACGAAACUUGCCCCGAGAUGAGUUCU